rnacentral:rRNA from 1 species
CAGCAGUCGAGAAUUUUGGACAAUGGGCGAAAGCCUGAUCCAGCCAUGCCGCGUGAGUGAAGAAGGCCUUCGGGUUGUAAAGCUCUUUCAGGUGGAAAGAAAACGCAUAGGUUAAUACCUUGUGCGGAUGACGGUACCAUCAGAAGAAGCACCGGCUAACUACGUGCCAGCAGCCGCGGUAAUACGUAGGGUGCGAGCGUUAAUCGGAAUUACUGGGCGUAAAGCGUGCGCAGGCGGUUAUGUAAGACAGAUGUGAAAUCCCCGGGCUCAACCUGGGAACUGCGUUUGUGACUGCAUAACUAGAGUACGGCAGAGGGAGGUGGAAUUCCGCGUGUAGCAGUGAAAUGCGUAGAUAUGCGGAGGAACACCGAUGGCGAAGGCAGCCUCCUGGGCCAGUACUGACGCUCAUGCACGAAAGCGUGGGGAGCAAACAGGAUUAGAUACCCUGGUAGUCCACGCCCUAAACGAUGUCAACUAGUUGUUCGGUGAGGAGACUCAUUGAGUAACG